GACGAACGCUGGCGGCGUGCUUAAUACAUGCAAGUCGAACGGAAAGGCCCUGCUUUUGUUGCGUUCUCGAGAGGCGAACGGGUGAGUAUCACGCGAGUAAACUGUCCCUAUCAGUGGGGGAACACCAGGGAAAUCGGGCGAAUACACGGUAUGAUCUCCUGAUGCAUGUGGUGGGAUGGUAAGAUUCGGCGUUGGUGGAUGUACUGGAGGGUUAUCAGCUUGUUGGGGAGGUAGGGACGUACCAGGCCUUCGAAGGGUAGCCGGCCUGCGAGGGUGACCGGGCACAUGGGGACUGAGAUACGGACCAGACGGCUACGGGAGGCAGCAGUGGGGAAUAUUGCACAAUGGGCCGAAGCCUGAUGCAACAGCGCCGCGUGCGGGAUGACGGCUUUCGGGUUGUAAACCGCUUUCGCAUGUGACGAAGAGUGAGUGACGGUAAUGAGUAAAAAAGCACCGGCUAACUACGUG
rnacentral:rRNA from 1 species